UUUAUCUAAUAAAAGAAAUUGUAGAAGUUUAGAAUAAGAAUUUUAACAUUAUAAAGAUUGUUUGAUAGUUCUAUUAAGUUUUCUUUACUCUUUUACAUUAAAAAUAAUUAAAUGAUAAGCUUAUAAAAUGCUUUAAUUCAGUCUCUAAUUAUCACUUCACAUAUUUGUUGUACCUAUCACAAAAUUAAUCAAAUAUUUUUAUAUAUUUACACCCGUUUUCUUCCAUUCAAUUUUUGUAUUAGAAGACUGUAAACAGGUACUGGCAAUUCGAUGGGCAAAGUAAUAGUUUUAAAUGUUUUUCGUGGAUCGUCAUUGGGCAAUACAGGUAACGAGGGAUCUAAACCACCAUCGUAGCGAUAUAUUUUAGUGACCGCUUUACUAAGAAAUGGAUCGGCCAAAAGUUUCCAAUUGCGUUCUUUUGGCUUUUCAAUAAUCGAUACUGUUGGUGGUGGCGGUGGAGUAGUUGGCCUUCGAGUAGGUUGAUGGUACAUUGGUGAAGGAGGUUUCUCAACUCUUGUAGAUGGAAUUCUGUUAUACUCAUAUUCACCAUCUUCAUCACUACUUCUGUUAUUGUGAUGUCGCUGGUGAACACGAUGCGAUUCAUACUCUUCUUGAUCAUAUCUAUAGUGAUGGUGGCGGUGUCGAUGUCUGUGGUGCCUGUUGUGGUGACUGGAGUCAUGAUGUCUCGAACCAUAUUUACGAUUGUUGUAAGGUUGAAAGAAAAACAAACACACAUCAUACUGUUCAUGUACUAUUGAUUCGGAAUGGCAUAUACAAUAUUAUUAACGCAGUGGCUAUUUUCACAUCCAACCACGAAUAAAGA